rnacentral:tRNA from 1 species
GGGCGCAUAACUCAGCUGGUUAGAGUGCUUGCUUUACACGCAAGAUGUCCAUGGUUCGAAUCCGUGUGUGCCCA